AUUGAAACACUGGUUCCUAUACAAUCACCAAAGUUAAGCAACGUUGGGUCUGGUCUGUACCUAAAUGGGUGACUGCUUGGAAAUACCAGAUGCUAU